AGCUGGGCGAGCUCGUGCGGGCGCCGGCGCCGCCGCCGCCUCCGCUGCUGCCCACCCCGCCGCGCCGCUGGCGCUGCCGGUCUUGCUGGCGGCCGCCGGGGAGGGGCGGCCGAGAGAAGAGCACGAGGAGGCGGAGGCGGCGGAGAAGUGAUGCUAGCGCGGGGGAUCCGGGCAGCGGCAUCGGAGCAGCAGCAUCUCCGGGACACCGGCUGCAGCGUCCCUGUGGCCCGCUGGCCAGCUGAGCGGCGGGAGACCGCGCGCCCCGCGGACCCGGUAAAGACACUUCAAGAACUGCUCAGUCCCGGAGUGGAGGGACUGUGUGAAGACCCUGACGCUUUAUCCUGAGACAAGGUGCAGAGGUUUUCCUUAUAGGGAUCCUGCAGUUUGCUAAGCAGCAGCUUCUCCUGGCACAAGCCGCUGCAAAUCAGACAAACUGAGACCAUGCCUUGCGCCUAGCAGCUGCGCUAAGAAGGAG